rnacentral:rRNA from 1 species
UACGAAGGGGGCUAGCGUUGCUCGGAAUCACUGGGCGUAAAGGGCGCGUAGGCGGCCGAUCAAGUCAGGGGUGAAAGCCUGUGGCUCAACCACAGAAUUGCCUUUGAUACUGUUUGGCUAGAGACCGGAAGAGGUCAGUGGAACUGCGAGUGUAGAGGUGAAAUUCGUAGAUAUUCGCAAGAACACCAGUGGCGAAGGUGGCUGACUGGUCCGGUUCUGACGCUGAGGCGCGAAAGCGUGGGGAGCAAACAGG